rnacentral:rRNA from 1 species
GACGAACGCUGGCGGCGUGCUUAACACAUGCAAGUCGAACGGAAAGGCCCUGCUUUUGUGGGGUGCUCGAGUGGCGAACGGGUGAGUAACACGUGAAUAACCUGCCCUUGACUUUGGGAUAACUUCAGGAAACUGGGUCUAAUACCGGAUAGGAGCUCCUGCUGCGGUGUGGGGGGUGGAAAGUUUCGGCGGUUGGGGGUGGACUCGCGGCUUAUCAGCUUGUUGGUGGGGUAGUGGCUUACCAAGGCUUUGACGGGUAGCCGGCCUGAGAGGGUGACCGGCCACAUUGGGACUGAGAUACGGCCCAGACUCCUACGGGAGGCAGCAGUGGGGAAUAUUGCACAAUGGGCGGAAGCCUGAUGCAGCAACGCCGCGUGCGGGAUGACGGCCUUCGGGUUGUAAACCGCUUUCGCCUGUGACGAAGCGUGAGUGACGGUAAUGGGUAAAGAAGCACCGGCUAACUACGUG